rnacentral:RNase_P_RNA from 1 species
GCCCUGCGCUAAGCAGUCGCUGUCCCGACGUUACGUCGGGAUGGAGGAAAGUCCGGGCACGCGCUCCGCAAGGAGCAGAACGGUAGCGGGUAACGCCCGCCCGAGUAAUUCGAGGGAUGCGAACAGAGACGUCCGAGCCGAGAGGCAAGGACACCCCACUGGGGUGAGCUCGCACGGAAACGCGCGAGGUGCAACGGCAAAAUUCCUACCCGCGUGCAAGGUCGUGCUCGGUCGUGCCGCAGUGUGUUUCGAGGAACAUAGUGCGGCAUGACUGAGAGAACCGCUAGAGGUGAUCGGCAACGAUCAUCGGAGAUGCAUGACUGCUCUCGACAGAACCCGGCUUAUUGCGCAGUGCAGGC